rnacentral:rRNA from 1 species
CGUGGGCAAUCUGCCCUGCACUCUGGGACAAGCCCUGGAAACGGGGUCUAAUACCGGAUACGACCACUGAGGGCAUCCUCGGUGGUGGAAAGCUCCGGCGGUGCAGGAUGAGCCCGCGGCCUAUCAGCUUGUUGGUGGGGUGAUGGCCUACCAAGGCGACGACGGGUAGCCGGCCUGAGAGGGCGACCGGCCACACUGGGACUGAGACACGGCCCAGACUCCUACGGGAGGCAGCAGUGGGGAAUAUUGCACAAUGGGCGAAAGCCUGAUGCAGCGACGCCGCGUGAGGGAUGACGGCCUUCGGGUUGUAAACCUCUUUCAGCAGGGAAGAAGCGAGAGUGACGGUACCUGCAGAAGAAGCGCCGGCUAACUACGUGCCAGCAGCCGCGGUAAUACGUAGGGCGCGAGCGUUGUCCGGAAUUAUUGGGCGUAAAGAGCUCGUAGGCGGCUUGUCACGUCGGUUGUGAAAGCCCGGGGCUUAACCCCGGGUCUGCAGUCGAUACGGGCA